GCUAAAAAGAAAAAGAAAAAAUUAAAAUUAAAAAAGGGGACCAAAGAUUCAUGCCACUUGCUACUUGCUAUUCGACUGUAAGUAUCCUUCUUCUU
rnacentral:ribozyme from 11 species